CCUACGGGAGGCAGCAGUAGGGAAUAUUGGGCAAUGGAGGCAACUCUGACCCAGCCAUGCCGCGUGCAGGAAGACGGUCCUCUGGAUUGUAAACUGCUUUUGAAUGGGAAGAAUGUGCUCCUUGCGAGGGGUAAUGACGGUACCAUUAGAAUAAGCCACGGCUAACUACGUGCCAGCAGCCGCGGUAAUACGUAGGUGGCGAGCGUUAUCCGGAUUUAUUGGGUUUAAAGGGUGCGUAGGCGGCUUAAUAAGUCGGUGGUUAAAAGUAGCAGCUUAACUGUUUUACAUGCCAUCGAUACUGUUGAGCUUGAGAUAUUUGGAGGCAGCUAGAAUUUCCGGUGUAGCGGUGAAAUGCAUAGAUACCGGAAGGAAUACCAAUUGCGAAGGCAGGUUGCUACGAAUAAACUGACGCUGAUGCACGAAAGCGUGGGGAUCAAACAGGAUUAGAUACCCUGGUAGUCCACGCCGUAAACGAUGAUUACUAGUUGUUGGGGUUUAAGCCUCAGUGACCAAGGGAAACCGAUAAGUAAUCACCUGGGGAGUAGCCGGCAACGGUGAAACGUCAAAGGAAUUGAGGCUUGAGACGNGCGAGACGACGACGAGGAGGAGG
rnacentral:rRNA from 1 species